GCGUUGUCCGGAAUCAUUGGGCGUAAAGAGCGCGUAGGCGGUCCGGUAAGUCCGCUGUAAAAGUCAAGGGCUCAACCCUUGAAAGCCGGUGGAUACUGUCGGGCUAGAGUCCGUAAGAGGCGAGUGGAAUUCCUGGUGUAGCGGUGAAAUGCGCAGAUAUCAGGAGGAACACCUAUGGCGAAGGCAGCUCGCUGGGACGGUACUGACGCUGAGGCGCGAAAGCGUG
rnacentral:rRNA from 1 species